rnacentral:misc_RNA from 1 species
UUUUAUCUUUCAUAAUUAAAAUAUUUUUUUUAUUGUUUAAAUUUUUGGUUCGUCCUAAGGUUGUUUUUAUAGCAAAAAACUCGCUUUUAACGAACAUGACAUAAAAAAAUUAAUUCAUCAUCACUUCAACCUAUCGCAGUCCACUGCUGGACAUAGGCCUCCACAACUUCGCACCAAAAAUAGCGUGUAAUCAUGUGGUUUGCCCAUAUUCACGUUAUUUUUGGCGUAAACUUGUGGAGGCCUAUGUCCAGCAGUGGACUGUAUAGGCUAAUGAUGAUACAUUAAUCAGUCAAAUA